rnacentral:rRNA from 1 species
CUUCUGGAGUUGUACUGUAAUUCUUCGGGACAGCGUAUCAACCAUGACAAGUUGUCCAUAUUUUUCAGUAAAGGUUGCCCGCAACAGUUGAGAGAUAGUAUCAAAGCAAUUCUACAAGUCCAAAAUGAAUCAUUGAAUGAGCGCUAUUUGGGCAUGCCAACUGAUGUGGGGCAAUCAAAGAUGAGAACGUUCAAAUAUCUCAGAGAUAGAGUUUGGGAAAAGGUG